rnacentral:lncRNA from 1 species
GCUUCCUACAUUAUCCUCAUCAUCAAGGCUAAAAAAUUAAACUGCUCUCUCUCUUCAUAAUAUGAUAUAGAAUCCUCACAUCAUUUUUAGUAAGAUAGUCAAAUCUACUAGUCCGGAGAAGAAAAAUCUUGCAGACCAUAUGAUACAAUAGGCAAUGCUCAGUAGACAGGUGUUUGCCCAAAAUUUCUUCAAACUCAAGUACAUCAUUCCUACCGAAU